CUUCACAGGUGGUGUCGCAGCAGAGACACAGCCCGUGUAUGUCAACAUACCCUUCAGGGCUGGCACAGCUCUGCAGCAAUGGAGCCAUGAUGGGCAGGUCCAGCCGGUGACCCACACCCAGCCGGCGUGGCCCAACAACCCUGGAGAGAAGUCCGUAGUGGGUCGAAA